GGCGUGCCUAACACAUGCAAGUCGAACGGACGAGAGGGAGCUUGCUCCCUCAAGUUAGUGGGCGGACGGGUUGAGUAAACGCGUGAGUAACCUGUCCUUUCAGAGGGGAAUAACAUUCUAGAAAAGGAUGCUAAUACCGCAUAACAUCGUAGUAUCGCAGUGGUACAGCGAUCAAAGGAGCAAUCCGCUGAAAGAUGGACUCGCGUCCGAUUAGCUAGUUGGCGGGAUAAAGGCCCACCAAGGCGACGAUCGGUAGCCGGACUGAGAGGUUUGAUCGGCCCACAGUUGGGACUGAGACGACGGCCCAGACUCCGUACGGGGAGGCAGCAGGUGGGGGAUAUUGCACAAUGGGGGAAACCCUGAUGCAGCAACGCCGCGUGAAGGAAGAAGGUCUUCGGAUUGUAAACUUCUGUCCUCAGGGAAGAUAAUGACGGUACCUGAGGAGGAAGCUCCGGCUAACUACGUGCCAGCAGCCGCGGUAA
rnacentral:rRNA from 1 species